rnacentral:rRNA from 2 species
GAAGACCAAGGGUUCCUGUCCAACGUUAAUCGGGGCAGGGUGAGUCGACCCCUAAGGCGAGGCCGAAAGGCGUAGUCGAUGGGAAACGGGUUAAUAUUCCCGUACUUGGUGUUACUGCGAAGGGGGGACGGAGAAGGCUAUGUUGGCCGGGCGACGGUUGUCCCGGUUUAAGCGUGUAGGUGUGUGUUCCAGGUAAAUCCGGUUCACUUUAACACUGAGGCGUGACGACGAGGCACUACGGUGCUGAAGCAACAAAUGCCCUGCUUCCAGGAAAAGCCUCUAAGCAUCAGGUAACACGAAAUCGUACCCCAAACCGACACAGGUGGUCAGGUAGAGAAUACCAAGGCGCUUGAGAGAACUCGGGUGAAGGAACUAGGCAAAAUGGUGCCGUAACUUCGGGAGAAGGCACGCUGACACGUAGGUGAAGUGAUUUACUCAUGGAGCUGAAGUCAGUCGAAGAUACCAGCUGGCUGCAACUGUUUAUUAAAAACACAGCACUGUGCAAACACGAAAGUGGACGUAUACGGUGUGACGCCUGCCCGGUGCCGGAAGGUUAAUUGAUGGGGUCAGCGCAAGCGAAGCUCCUGAUCGAAGCCCCGGUAAACGGCGGCCGUAACUAUAACGGUCCUAAGGUAGCGAAAUUCCUUGUCGGGUAAGUUCCGACCUGCACGAAUGGCGUAAUGAUGGCCAGGCUGUCUCCACCCGAGACUCAGUGAAAUUGAACUCGCUGUGAAGAUGCAGUGUACCCGCGGCAAGACGGAAAGACCCCGUGAACCUUUACUAUAGCUUGACACUGAACAUUGAGCCUUGAUGUGUAGGAUAGGUGGGAGGCUUUGAAGUGUGGACGCCAGUCUGCAUGGAGCCGACCUUGAAAUACCACCCUUUAAUGUUUGAUGUUCUAACGUGGACCCGUAAUCCGGGUUGCGGACAGUGUCUGGUGGGUAGUUUGACUGGGGCGGUCUCCUCCUAAAGAGUAACGGAGGAGCACGAAGGUUGGCUAAUCCUGGUCGGACAUCAGGAGGUUAGUGCAAUGGCAUAAGCCAGCUUGACUGCGAGCGUGACGGCGCGAGCAGGUGCGAAAGCAGGUCAUAGUGAUCCGGUGGUUCUGAAUGGAAGGGCCAUCGCUCAACGGAUAAAAGGUACUCCGGGGAUAACAGGCUGAUACCGCCCAAGAGUUCAUAUCGACGGCGGUGUUUGGCACCUCGAUGUCGGCUCAUCACAUCCUGGGGCUGAAGUAGGUCCCAAGGGUAUGGCUGUUCGCCAUUUAAAGUGGUACGCGAGCUGGGUUUAGAACGUCGUGAGACAGUUCGGUCCCUAUCUGCCGUGGGCGCUGGAGAACUGAGGGGGGCUGCUCCUAGUACGAGAGGACCGGAGUGGACGCAUCACUGGUGUUCGGGUUGUCAUGCCAAUGGCACUGCCCGGUAGCUAAAUGCGGAAGAGAUAAGUGCUGAAAGCAUCUAAGCACGAAACUUGCCCCGA